rnacentral:lncRNA from 1 species
AAUCUCUGUCUUACCAAAUUUAUCUAUGUCCAGAUAAACCGGAAUCUCCAUUUCCAUAAUUAAACUUCAAGAAUCACAUUACUUAAUUAAUACAUGCUUUUUAUUUAUUUAUGUUUUCUUCCCCAUCAAUCAUAAAUAACUCCAAAAAUCCACUAUGGUUGUCAUAAAGAAACACACCCAAACCAAGCAGGGAGGGAGGAGAUUGAGAUCAAGAAAAUCACAAACAAGAGCAGCCAGC